GCUUAACUCAUUCACCUACUGCAUUCUGAAGGUCAGGAAUUCAUAGGCACAGUCAGUAAUCAACACCCUGAUCUGAAUGCUUGCUGAUUUCUGUGGUGUAAAUACUCCUACCAAUUUCAAACUACUAACAUGGAAACCCUGAGUGUAGAAGUGGAUAAAGAUGCCAACAACUGCCUAUUACCCGUCAGCAUAAGUCAGCAAUAGCAUAUUAUGAUCUCCAUUCCAUGGCUUUCAGGGAAGACUCGGCAUCUGGAGGUGACUCAACAGCUGAGGGCUGAAAUGGGGCAGAGACAUUUUUAGUCACAUGUCUGAAAGCUGAGCCUGACUCUCUGCUGGGAUCUCCAUCUCAGAACAGAGAGCCUAUCUGUGGUGUCUGGGGGAGACCCAGGCUCCCUGGCAGUAAUCAGAUUUCUCACAUGGUGGCUCAAGAUUCCAAAAGACAAUUGAUGCUGGUCAGCUGGAGCUGAGAGAUCAGAUGUUACAAAGAAGAGGCCAGUAUCAUUAAGAUGAAAUCUGAAAUUUUCUGGGUUAUCACACAGAAGCUGUGGUCCAUGGUGAUCAACCAAACCUGGAUUGGAGUCUGUACAAGAGGCCAGGAAGACACUGGUAAAGGCACUGCCUCAGUCUGAGUAAAGACUCCAGCAUCAUGGAGAUGCCAGGUCUGUGGGAUAACCACCAAAACCGACAGUGUGUUUGGAGUGGAGCUUGAGCCUGCUUGAGCCUACAAGACAAGCUGAGUGUCCUGUGGAUAGGCAGAGCCAGAGAAGGGAAGCUGACCAAGCCCUUUGGAGCCUGAAGAUCGCUAUUGAAUCCCGGGUGACAGAUAUGGAGCUACUCAAUUUGUUAUUCUGCUGAAUGUUGAUUUUGCCUUGUUUUGAAUGUAACUGUACCCAUCUUCUUCCCUCUUGGAGUAAGGAAGUAUUUAAUUUACUUUUAUUUAUCAGGGACCCAAAGUUGAGAGACUUUGGACUUUUUUUUUUAAAGAGAUAUUGGGUAAAGAAACUGAACUUUUAAAGUGUUUAAAAUUUUUAAAGACUGUGGGACUUUUAAAGUUAUACUGUAUUUUAUAUUAACAUGACAUCUUGGGGAUAAACAAGAAAGAAAGGAAAGGUUAUGGUUUAAUAGUGAUGAGUUUUGUGACAAAUUGACAAGGGUCAAUUAUGCUAGUGAGUUUCUUGUCAACUUGAUAUAAGCUAGGUUCAUCUAGGAAAAGGGAACAUCAAAUGAGAAAUGCCUCUAUCAGAUUGACCUAUGUGCAAGUCUGUUGAGUAUUUUUGGGAUUGCUGAUUAAUUGUGAAGGCCUAGUCUACCGUAGUUAGUGUGACCCCUAGGUUAUGUAAGAAAGUAGGCUGAGCAAGCCAUGGGAAGCAAGCCAGAAAGCAGUACUCUUCCAUGGCCUCUUCAUCAGUUCCUGAUUCUAAGUUCCUGCUUUAACUUCCUUCUGUGACUUCCCUCAGAUAUGAACUACAAGCUAUAAGAUGAAAUGAACCCUUUCCUCGCCAGUUGCUCUUUGUCAUGUUGUCUUUAUUCUAGCAACAGAAAGAGAAUGGUAACAGCCCCCUUUCUGUUCUUCCUUUUCAACUCACCACUUUUUUUUUUUCUUUUUGUCUUCUUAAGGCAUUUUCAAUUCUAUUAUUCAUUCUUGAGAUCUUUUAGUUUUUCAUUUUGGAAUAUUUCUAGUUCAGAAACACUACCAUUUCUUGCUCUUCUGGGCCUUUGUACUCUCUUUGAAGAAGUAGUUUUGAUCUGCUUGUGGGCCUGUCUCUCUGGUAUGUUUUGUCAUCUGUAGGAAUGUUGCUUCCUUCUUAUUCCCUUUCAUUACAACUCUUUUCA
ensembl:lncRNA